rnacentral:sRNA from 1 species
GUUGGGCAUGGCAAUGCAUGCCUGUAAUCUCAAAAACUUGGGAGGCUGAAGCAGGAGGAUUGUAAAUUCAAGGCCAGCCUCAGCCACUUAUCGAGACCCUCAGCAACUUAAUGAGAUCCUGUUUUAA